rnacentral:rRNA from 1 species
UACGAAGGGUGCAAGCGUUACUCGGAAUUACUGGGCGUAAAGCGUGCGUAGGUGGUUUGUUAAGUCUGUUGUGAAAGCCCCGGGCUCAACCUGGGAAUGGCAAUGGAUACUGGCAGGCUAGAGUGCGGUAGAGGGUAGUGGAAUUCCCGGUGUAGCGGUGAAAUGCGUAGAGAUUGGAAAGAACACCGAUGGCGAAGGCACUUUACUGGGCUAUUACUAACACUCAGAGACGAAAGCUAGGGUAGCAAAUGGG